CAAAUGCUGUGCAGAGAAGCCCAGGCAGGGGUGGAGGGGGGAAUCCACUUCAUCUUGUCAUCUUGUCCCCUCUUCGUGCACAACAUUUACAUUUCAGGCCACUUCCAGCACUGCUCCUACAGGCUGAGGAAUUUUUGGAGCAGCACGGGGGCAGAUGUGCCCCUGCAGCAGCUUUUUGGUAGCUAACGGCACACAAGUUUUGAAAUAAAAUGCUGUUGCAAAAUGAAAAAUGGAAGCACUCUGCCUUGAAACCAUCUCAGCGAUUUCCCCCGGGUCUUCUGCUGGUAAACCAGCAGAAAAUGCAGCCCCCAAAUCCCGUUUUUUCUGUGGAAGUUUUUGACCGUUCAAAACCACAUGGUCCUGUGUAAGAGCGACUUGAAGUGCCCCAAUUUGUGCACAAAUGAGGUCUGGUUUGUGACUGAUGCUCAGAAGCUCAUUUCUUUGUGAUUUCCCCGUGAAAUGGGGCUUUGCUGAGGCACAGGGGUGCGGAGCUCUGCUGCUGCCGGAAGGGAGGAGGCCGGGAGUUUGAACUUUCGAGAGGGUCCCUAGAUCCCUCCAUGUGGAAAAUCAGAACAAUCUGCUGGCAAAGAGGUCAAAUUGGAGGCAGAAGAAAGAUAAUCCCAGCCCUGCCUCCUCCCAGCCAUGCAGCCAAUGGUCUCCAGUGCCCCGGCCCCCUCCAGAGCUCUCCCAGCCUAUCUCAAGGCACUGUGAGACAGCUUGUCUUUAAAAACAACAACAACAACAACAACAACAAAGAAAAAAAAACAGGGAGUUUUGGAGUUUUCCCUGGCAGACAAAUGACAGAAGCACUGAUGCCUUCACUGUUCUCAAGCCUGGGCACCCAGGACGUGCACUUCAGAUGCAUGCACCCCAUCACCCAGCACUACUCUGGUCCAGCAUCUGCGCAGGCACCAAGAGGUGCUGCCUGUGGAGAGCUGUGUCCUGUGCCAAGGGGGAAAGGGACAUCCCGCAGUGGCAGCUUUUCCAUUGCCCUCCGUUAUCCUUCCUUCUGGGCUGUCUAAGCAGGUUAUUAAAUAUUAGAGAGGUUCCUCACCAAAGGCUAGGGUCCACAGCCUUCUCUGGACUUUUGUCAGGUGUCUUUUCGUGAUGAUGGUGGCUAAUUAGCCUACAAAGGAUGAAUGUAGUGGGGGACACAAGCACAUUGCCCAGGCAUCCCUGCUGCACAUCCCUGUGUGGGUGAGGUUCGCUGGCUCCCCUUCCCCAAGGCUCAACCGGGGGCCCGUCACUUUGGAGAAGCAGGGACCUGAUGCCUCCCUCCUCUGCCUGUAAAGGGUGGCUGAGUCAGAUGGUGAUGUGCCACCUAAAAUCAGGGCAGAUGAUUCCUUCCCCACCUGGGUCUUUCACUGGUGUACCCCACCACCCCACUGACUGGCACAACUACCCUCCUGCCAGCCCCCUUUUUAUGAGAAGUGUGACUUUCUGCAGGUCGUGCACGUUGUCUCUAACAGCCGAAACCAAAAGUGGGUCUUCCAAGACACGGGCCGACAUAUUAAACCCGUGCUCACCCUUCCUCUUGUGUAGCAUGCUCUCUGUCCUGUGCUCACCUGCGGUCUUCUCCUGCAGAGCAUUUCAUGCACAGCACCACUGCCAACAAAAAUGCCAGCUCUGUCCGAAGGUAUAAGAAGCAGGUAUCCCCUGAUUUCCUGCCACACCAAUGUCAUCGCUGUUAAAGGCUUGAAAAGAGCUCUUUAAAGAGCUGGCAUGUUUUGUGCCGAUACGCUGGGAUGGUGGUGGUGGUGUGGCACUACACCAGGGUGGAGAGAUGGAGGAAGCUCGGCUACUUGAAUUGCAGUCUUUCAUUCCGAUAUUUAUGUAAAAAGCUUUUAUGAUGAGGAAAAAUAAAAAUAAAAAACAGAGAGUAUUUUGGAUGGUAGUGCUCAAGAAAAUCCUCAAAACCAUUGAUUUUAGGUGUCCGAGAUUCCUGAGUCCUAAGGAAACGUGUAGCAUAAGGUCCUCUCCCAUCCUUACCUGUGCAAAAAA